rnacentral:lncRNA from 1 species
AUUUCCCCAAUACAUUUUUUUUCUACUGUAUAACAUAGUGACCCAGUUACACAUACAUGUAUACAUUCUUUUUUCUCCCAUUAUCAUGCUCCGUCAUAAGUGAUUAGACAUAGUUCUCAGUGCUACACAGCAGGAUCUCAUUGCUAAUCCAUUCCAAAAGCAAUAGUUUGCAUCCAUUAAUCCCAAGUUCCCAGUUCCUCCCACUCCCUCCCCUCCUUUGGCAACCACAAAUCUAUUCUACAAGUCCAUGAUUUUCUUUUCUGUGGAAAGGUUCAUUUAUGCCAUAUAUUAGAUUCUAAGUAUGUGAUAUCAUAUGGUAUCUGUCUUUCUCUUUCUGACUUACUUCACUCAGGAUGAAAGUCUCUAGUUCCAUCCAUGUUGCUGCAAAUGGCAUUAUUUUGUUCUUUUUUAUGGCUGAGUACUAUUCCAUUGUGUAUAUAUACCACAUCUUCCUAAUCCAGUUGUCUGUUGAUGGACAUUUGGGUUGAUCCCAUGUCUUGGAUAUUGUGAAUAGUGCUGCAAUGAACAAGAGGGUGAUGUGUCUUUUUUAAGGAAAGUUUUAUCCAGCUAUAUGCCCAAAAGUGGGAUUUCUGGGUCAUAUGAUAGUUCUAUGUAUAGAUUUCUAAGGUACCUCCAUAUUGUUCUCCAUAGUGGUUGAACCAGCACAUUCCCACCAACAGUGCAGGAGGGUUCCCUUUUCUCCAAACCCCUCCGCAUUUGUUAUUUGUGGACUUAUUAAUUAUGGGCAAUCUGACUGGUGUGAAGUGGUAUCUUAUGGUAGUUUUAAUUUGCAUUUCUCUAAUAAUCAGGGAUGUUGAGCAUUUUUGCAUGUGCUUGUUGGCCAUCUGUAUAUCUUCCUUGUUGGUCUUCCUGUCUCAUGUUGGCAUAAAACUGUGCAAUAGUGAGGAUGACUAAAGAGUUUAUUUCAGAAGGAAUCUCUCCAAGAAAUGGCUUGAACAGUUUCAUUUUCCCCACCAUCUGGCAGAAUUGGUUGAAAUGAGAGCCAUUUUCAGCCUUCUCCCUUGCAAACCACAGAAAGCACAGAUUUCAUCAUAGAUCACUGAGUAUAGGAGUAAUUUUAACUUCCUUUACAUUAGCUCAACUUUGAGCCUUGAGGAAAAACCUGUCUAAAAUAUCUCAUUUCUAUGGUUUUCCUCUCUAGUCAUUUGGCUUCUGCUGUUGUGGUACUGGUAGUGGGUGAAAGUUUCCCCUCCUAAUAUUAUCUGACUUCAAUGCAAACAAGAUAUAAUAUGGUUUGAAAUUCAUCAAUUAGUGUUAUGAGUUCCCUUGACAUGUUGAUGCUCUCACUAAACAAACUUUACAACAAUCUGCAGUAUAAGAAUUUUCACCAACAGAACUGCUAUAUCUUCAUUAAAGAAUAUGUGAGGAUCUUCACACUUUGACUUUGCUAUACAAAUUCACUAGGUGAUUGUUAACAGUUGUCAAUACUAGACUGUGUCACCUUGCAAUGUCACAAAUUAGAUUCCAGUUUUUACUCACAGCACAACUUGUAAAAGGAGUUUAGUACUCAAUGUAUUCAUUUUAGACUUAUUUAAACACUCAAGUAGUAUUUAUUGAUUAGUCUACACUUAGCAUCAGAUUCAUUUAAAAAACAUGUGGCAAGAAAUGAAACACAGCAGAACAGCAGCAGGGAUUUCUUCUCAGUGGAAGUAGUCAGAGCAGACCAUACAGCAGUCCUGGCACUGUAGUAUAACACCUGCUAUAGUUCAACAGUGACUGAAUAAGACUCAGUUGAGUGGGAUGGGAAGCCACAUUAGCCCAGGAACCCACUUUCCAAAUAAAAACCAACAUUUAUUUUAGCAGUGCUCUAGGAAUACCUGUAAUUAUUGUACAGGGUAUUCUCUAUUAUGAGAGCUUUCAUGAAAUUCUAAGGUAUAGCUUAUUACCAGGAAUUUAGUAUUUCUUCAUAAUGUUUCUAUUCCAGAUGAAGUUUACCGAUCAAGGUCAUUUUAAAAUAAACUAUGUUGCCUGGAAACAAAAUAUGGUGUUUCACUUCUAUCAGAUUUUCACUUCUAAGCAGAGUUAGGCAGUUAUCAUAAGGUUAGAUGGGUCAAUAAAAAAGAAGAAAAGAAUUCUUAGCACUUCUCCCAAAAUAGGAGGACUAAUGUGUAUUGAGUUAUGAAUAACUCCUAUAAACCUCACAAAAGCUUUUGAGGGUAGUUCUUAACAUUUCUAUUUUACUGAUCGAGACCCCAACACAGGGAAAAUUAAACAAUUUCUCUCAAAGUAUCCAUAAAUGAGAAAUUAACUUGAUAUUUUUGGCCCCAAACCUAUGGUCUUUCCACAAUAUUACAUCUGAGUAACUUUGUAACUGGGUUCAACAGAUUUUUAGCAUAUGACCUGCCAAGAAUUUCAUCUCUAGGGUCUUAAAUAUAGUGCAGAGGUAGGUUCACAAAUAUUUAUGAUGUUUAGCUAUCUCUUUACCAGCUUGUGAAAAAAUGUCACAAUUAUUUAAAUACUAUUGAUGAUACCAAACCAUCAACUUGACACUGUGAGAAUCCUCUCUAUGUGAUUUAGUAAACUUCCCCAGGUUUUAUCACAGUUCUGUUACAUAUUCUCACCCAGUGAAAAAAGCAUUUGGGUCUGUCAUCUUGUAAUUAGUUACUUCAGAAAGAUCAAUAGUCACAAGGAGUUCCCAUGAUGGCUCAGCAGAAACUAAUCUGACUAGUGUCCAUUAGGGUGCAGGUUUGAUCCCUGACCUCACUCAGUGGGCUAAGGAUCUGGCAUUCCCAUGAGCUGUGGUGUAGGGUGCAGACAUGGCUCGGCUCCCACAUUAUUGUGGCUGUGGCCAGUGGCUACAGCUCUGAUUUGACCACUUUCCUGGGAACCUCCAUAUGCC